GGUCUGAUGGCACAGCUGGUUAGCGCAUUGCACUAAUAUUUCAAGAACCCUAAAUUCCCGCAAAGGAACUUAGCUAGUAAGCAUAUUAAAUGCAAAGGUCGAGGGUUCAAUCCCCUCUCGGACCA
rnacentral:tRNA from 1 species